UAUAUAUAUAUGAAUAUUUAUAAUUGAUAAUAUGCACCAGAAUGUGAAAGAGAAAAUCAAUUAUAAGCAUGCAUAUUAAAAAGGCACUUCAAGGAUACGCGGCAGGAAACUACUGUGUAAUAGGAAGCAUCGACUGGAGACAAAGAGACUUGUAACAUAGAAGCGUUGCAGAAGUUAGUUUCAAAUUUGCAGAGGGGUGUCUUGUGUUGCUUCUGCCGUGCGAUCCUUUGUACAGUAUGUGCCUUGCUAUCUCCGUGUCUGUGUAUUCGUACGUUGGAACAACCAGAGACCAGCAGCCGGGAAUUUAAAAAAAAGACAAAAAAAUACAAAAAAAA